rnacentral:rRNA from 1 species
GCUAGCGUUGCUCGGAAUUACUGGGCGUAAAGCGCACGUAGGCGGCUUUCUAAGUCGGGGGUGAAAUCCUGGAGCUCAACUCCAGAACUGCCUUCGAUACUGGAAAGCUCGAGUCCGGGAGAGGUGAGUGGAACUGCGAGUGUAGAGGUGAAAUUCGUAGAUAUUCGCAAGAACACCAGUGGCGAAGGCGGCUCACUGGCCCGGUACUGACGCUGAGGUGCGAAAGCGUGGGGAGCAAACAGG